UACGGAGGGGGCUAGCGUUGUUCGGAAUUACUGGGCGUAAAGCGCACGUAGGCGGACUUGUAAGUCAGGGGUGAAAUCCCGGGGCUCAACCUCGGAACUGCCUUCGAUACUGACGAUCUUGAGUCCGGGAGAGGUGAGUGGAACUGCGAGUGUAGAGGUGAAAUUCGUAGAUAUUCGCAAGAACACCAGUGGCGAAGGCGGCUCACUGGCCCGGUACUGACGCUGAGAUACGAAAGCGUGGGGAGCAAACAGG
rnacentral:rRNA from 1 species